rnacentral:lncRNA from 1 species
UUUUCUUUUGGUUUUUGUGUAUCCAGGUAGAUUUACUUCUUUUCUUUGUUUAAUGAAAUCAUUUAUAUAAUGUAAUGUUAUACAUGAAUCAAUAAGUGUUGAUACAAGAGAACUAUAUGAUAUUUUUAUCUAAAAGGCAUAUGCACUGACACAAUUUGUUUUGUUUUUUUUUUCUGUAGAAAGCUUAUAAAUUUUUAAUUCUACUCUUCAAAUAAAUUACAGCAAUUAAAUUUAUAAAAUACUGUUUGGACAACUAAUUGGUUCUAACUUCUAAGUGAUAUACUGACAAUUUUUUAUAUUAUCA